UAUGUACAUGACUAGAACGUUAAUGCAUUAGAUCCCAUCAAAAAUCCAUAGUUAAGUGUGCUUCUUCUAGAGUAGUACUAGGAUGGGUGACCUCCCAGGAAGUCCUAGUGUUUUACAUGC
rnacentral:rRNA from 1 species